GUUGCCAAUAUCGGCGGCCGAUGACGGUACCUGAAGAAUAAGCACCGGCUAACUACGUGCCAGCAGCCGCGGUAAUACGUAGGGUGCGAGCGUUAAUCGGAAUUACUGGGCGUAAAGCGGGCGCAGACGGUUACUUAAGCAGGAUGUGAAAUCCCCGGGCUCAACCCGGGAACUGCGUUCUGAACUGGGUGACUCGAGUGUGUCAGAGGGAGGUGGAAUUCCACGUGUAGCAGUGAAAUGCGUAGAGAUGUGGAGGAAUACCGAUGGCGAAGGCAGCCUCCUGGGAUAACACUGACGUUCAUGUCCGAAAGCGUGGGUAGCAAACAGGAUUAGAUACCCUGGUAGUCCACGCCCUAAACGAUGUCAAUUAGCUGUUGGGCAACUUGAUUGCUUGGUAGCGUAGCUAACGCGUGAAAUUGACCGCCUGGGGAGUACGGUCGCAAGAUUAAAACUCAAAGGAAUUGACGGGGACCCGCACAAGCGGUGGAUGAUGUGGAUUAAUUCGAUGCAACGCGAAGAACCUUACCUGGUUUUGACAUGUGCGGAAUCCUCCGGAGACGGAGGAGUGCCUUCGGGAGCCGUAACACAGGUGCUGCAUGGCUGUCGUCAGCUCGUGUCGUGAGAUGUUGGGUUAAGUCCCGCAACGAGCGCAACCCUUGUCAUUAGUUGCCAUCAUUCGGUUGGGCACUCUAAUGAGACUGCCGGUGACAAGCCGGAGGAAGGUGGGGAUGACGUCAAGUCCUCAUGGCCCUUAUGACCAGGGCUUCACACGUCAUACAAUGGUCGGUACAGAGGGUAGCCAAGCCGCGAGGCGGAGCCAAUCUCACAAAACCGAUCGUAGUCCGGAUUGCACUCUGCAACUCGAGUGCAUGAAGUCGGAAUCGCUAGUAAUCGCAGGUCAGCAUACUGCGGUGAAUACGUUCCCGGGUCUUGUACACACCGCCCGUCACACCAUGGGAGUGGGGGAUACCAGAAGUAGGUAGGGUAACCGCAAGGAGCCCGCUUACCACGGUAUGCUUCAUGACUGGGGUGAAGUCGUAACAAGGUAGCCGUAGGGGAACCUGCGGCUGGAUCACCUCCUUUCUA
rnacentral:rRNA from 1 species